rnacentral:lncRNA from 1 species
UUUAAAGUCUAAACUUUUAAUCAAAAUUUCAGAAUUUGGCACAUACCUCUCAUGCCUCGAUACAUAACUUGAAACUCUUGCUUUAUCUCAAAUUUUUGAAGUUUUAUCCUUAACCAAAUAUAAAAGAAAGGAGAAGAAAAUCAAAAGUUCAAAUUGGUAAUAUUUGGAUGAAAAAGGGGGAGACUUCACUCUCAAAUUUGAAAAGCUGAAAUUCAGCAACUUGAGCUCUUCUAGAACAAAUUUUCUAAUUUUAAGAUAAGUAUCAAUCUGCUCAUACUCAAUAUUUUGUAAUCAUCAAAAAGGGGGAGAUUGAGG